rnacentral:lncRNA from 1 species
UGCUGGUUUGACUGAUCAUUCGAUCUCAACCUUUUAUCACUCUCUUCACUCAUUCUUAAUGACUGUUGUGUCGGAUCGUGCACUGAUUAUUAUUGUGGUUUUUUUUUAUAUUAUUAUUCAACAUUGGAUUUAUGUUUGCUUGUUUGAUUAAUGAGUAAUGAUGAUCAUUAAUUUGGGCGAUGCAAGCUACAUGGGGACUAGGUUAUCGACAAGUAGAAUUUGAAGGAGAUAAUUUGAUUCUGAAUAAUAUUCUCCAUGGUAAAGGGCAGAAUUGGCGAGUUCAACAUUACAUUGAUACAAUCCAGAAUGGAAGGGCAUGUUCACCGACGUUGUGUUUCAGUUCAGGCAUCGAGAAGCUAACUUUUGUGCGGAUAUAUUAGCUAAGAAAGCUGUUUCUUCGGAUUUACCAUGGUCUCUGUACCAUUCUUGUCCUUUAUUCCUGCAACCUUAUGUAAACAAUGAUAUGGUUUUUUGAUUUCUAAUAAAGGAUCUUUAGUCGGAAAAAAAAAAAAAAAUCUCAAACACUUUUCAUUCAAUUAAAUCAUAAUUUUUACUCUUAGAUUGUCUAUUUUUUUCGACAACAUAAUAUCUAAUACAGUUCGAAAAUCUAAUUUGGUAUAUAUAUAUGGUUCUCAUUAUGACACUCAAUUAAAUAACCUAACUAAAUUCAUUUUUUAUGGUCUCAUUAUGAGACUUAAUUAAAUAACAUGGUUUAUAUGGUCUCAUUUUUUACUAUAUGGAGGAUGUGAUUGUUCACUUUUUUAAAUAAAAUAAAAUUAUGAUUUAAAUAUGAGAGGGCAAGAUAAUGGUUUAAAAUAAACUAUAAUUCUAUUAUAUAAUAUAAUAUUUACUAAUUUUAAAAUAAUUUUUAUUUUAAUAUUUUAUAUGUUCUGAUAACUUAACCCACAUAUGACCACAAUUAUAAAAAAAAACCUAAUAUAUCCUAUCUUUUUUUAUCAACCCUAACCUGUCAUAUCAAAUUAUAAUAUUUAUCAGUUUUCAAUUCGCUUAUUCUAUUAAGCAGAAAAUAACUGUGGUUAUGAAACCAUAAUUCUAACUCACCAUAUAUAAUAUAAUAUUUACUAAUUUUGAAAUAAUUUUUAUUUUAAUAUUUUAUAAGUUCUAACCACAAUUUUAGCUCACGUAAGACCACAAUUAUAAAAAAACAUAACCUAUUUUAUCAAAUUAUUAUAUAAUAUUAAUAUUUAUCAGUUUUUCAAUAUGUAAAAUUUUAGUUUGAUUUUAAAAUAUGAUUAAAUAGAAUAAAAUAUUCAUUAAUCAUAUAUGUUAUUCUGAAAAUAUUAGUUGAACUUAAAUGUUAAAUUAAAUGGAAUCUAUAUUUAAGGAAGUCUAAAGUAAUUUAAAUUAAUAUAUAUAUUUUCUAAAAUUAUAUUUAAUUACAAAAAUAAACAGUUUGUAUUUUAAAUUAAAUAGAAUUUAUAUUUAUGGAAAUCUUUAGGUAUCUAAAUUAAUCUCUAAUUUUCGAAAUUAAAUUUAUAUAUAAAAGAAAAUGUGUUUUUAGAUAAUAUUGCAAUAAAUUAGAAUAAUUUUAAAAUUGUUUUUAAAUAAUUUUAAUAAAAAGUUUUAAGAAUAUUUGGAAGCAAGUACUAAAAAUGGUUUUGUUUUAAUAUAAUAGAUUUAAAUAUGAAAGACCUACAUUGAUUUUUUCGUCAUUAAGUAGCUUGAUUCUUAUUUUAAAACAAAUUUAGCAGAAACCAUUAUGGCUGGGAAACUUUUGUCGUUUGGAGUACAAAAGCUUUGUGACGUACUGAGCCAAGAAUAUGCGCACUUUCAUGGAGUUGAUGAAGAAGUUACUGAACUCAAACGUGAACUUGACUUGUUAAGCUCUUUUCUGAAAGAUGCGAAUGUCAAGAAACAUACUAGUGCGGUGGUGAGAACAUUUUUGGAACAGAUCAAGGAAAUUAUUUAUGAUGCAGAAGAUAUAGUUGAUACCUUUCUUCUUAAAGAAAAAUUUGGAAAAACAAGUGGCAUCAAGAAGCGUAUCAGAAGACUUGCUUGUGUUUUUCCAGAUCGUCGGGAAAUUGCAUUAGAUAUUGAAGGCAUAAGUAAGACGAUCUCCAAGAUGAUUAGUGAUAUGCAAAGUUUUGGAAUACAGCAAAGUAUUGCUGAUGGCGGGUAUAUGCAACCUCUACAUGAUAGACAAAGAGAGAUGCGACAAGAAAUUGAUAGGGAACACGAAAGCAAUUUUGUGGGGGUGGAAGAAAAUGUUGAUAAGUUGCUUGGAUAUUUGGUGGAGGAUGAUAAUGUUCAAGUGGUUUCCAUGACUGGGAUGGGUGGUCUCGGAAAAACCACCCUUGCUAGACAAGCUUUUAAUCAUGAGAUGGUUAAACAUAAGUUUGAUAGACUAGCAUGGGUGUGUGUUUCACAAGAUUGUAAGCUGAAGAAUGUUUGGCAAACAAUCUUGCAGAAUCUCAAACCCGAAGAAGAAGAAAAGAAAAUACUGGAGAUGACAGAAUUUGCACUCCAUCGUGAACUCUUUGGACUGCUGGAAACAUCUAAAUCUUUAAUUGUCUUUGAUGACAUUUGGAAAGAAGAAGACUGGAGCGUAAUCAAGCGAAUAUUUCCACCCAAAAAAGGUGAUUUUUACUUAACAAAAAGAAAGAUGAAAACAAGUAAUACUCAUUAUGCUCUUUUUGUAUGAUUAUUAUGAAAUGAGUAAAUAUUUUGCAGGUUGGAAGGUGUUACUUACUUCUCGAAAUGAGAAUGUCGCAGGGCAUGGAGAUACAACAUAUAUCAACUUCAAACCGGGAUGCCUAACUAUUGAAGACAGUUGGACACUUUUCCAAAAAAUAGCAAUGCCAAGCAAAGAUGCAUCCAGUAAGCAUUCAAAAGCAGCGAUUUUUUUUUUCUUCAUUUUGAUCAAAAUGAAAUAUGUUUUUGAAUGAUAUCAAGACAAUCUUCUUAGCCCUAAAUAACUGAUUGUAGUAUAUCAUUAUCACAACCUAUUGAACUGUUACUUUUGUUGUCCAAAUGAAGUUUUUUUGUUUUCUUCUAUGAUGUUGUGCAGAUUUGAAGAAGGUUGAUGAGGAAAUGGAAGAGAUGGGUAAGCAAAUGAUCAAACAUUGUGGGGGAUUGCCUUUGUCAGAGUAUUAGGAGGCUUAUUGGCUACAAAACACACACUGUACGAUUGGGAACUAGUAUCUGAGAAUAUUCAAUCUCAUCUCAUGGGAAGAACUGAGUUCAAUGGUGACAACAACAGUUUAAUUUACCAUGUAUUGUCACUGAGCUUUGAAGAGCUGCCUAGUCAUUUAAAGCAUUGCUUCCUCUACUUGGCCCAUUUUCCAGAAGAUUAUGAAAUACGUGUGCAUGAACUCUCCUAUUACUGGGCUGCAGAAGAAAUACGCAGGUAUCACGAUAGAGAGACCAUUCGAGAUGUUGGAGAAAUGUAUAUAGAGGAGUUGGUGAGGAGAAAUAUGGUUAUUUCCCAAAGAGACGUGAAAACUCUGAGAUUUGAAACUUGUCAUUUGCAUGACAUGAUGAGAGAAAUUUGUUUGUCUAAAGCGAAAGAAGAGAACUUCCUACAAAUAGUCGGUAUCUGCUCCCAGACCCCACGCUCUUGUAGUACAUCUCGCAGAUUUGUGUCACAGCAUCCGACUACAUUAGAUGUUGAGAGAGAGAUAAAUAAUUCAAAGGUUCGAUCUCUCGUUGUUGUCUGCAAGGAUAACUAUAGCAGCGAAUGGAAGCCAUCAAGUUUAAGCUUUACGAAGUUACAACUGCUGAGGGUAUUAAAUCUCACUGCAGCCAGAUUUGAAGGAAAGAAGUUACCUUAUAGCAUUGGAAAGCUCAUCCAUUUAAGAUAUCUGAAUUUAAAAAAUGCAUAUAUCACUCAUCUACCAUCUUCUCUACAAAAUCUGAAGCUGAUGCUCUAUUUGAAUCUAUGUGUAGAGAGCUGGGCAUCUCCAGUAUAUGUGCCCAAUGUCUUAAAAGAGAUGCGGGAAUUGAGAUACCUUGAAUUACCAAGAAAUAUGAAAAAGAAGUCAAAGUUGGAAUUGAGGAAUCUAGAGAAAUUGGAGACCUUGAAGCAUUUCUCAACGGAGAAUAGCAGUGUAGAGGAUCUAAGUGGUAUGUACAGGUUGAGGACUCUCGAAAUCGAUUUAAAUGAGAGGACAAGUAUAGAAGCUCUGUCGGCAUCAAUAGGUGGACUGAGACACCUGGAAGAUCUUGAUAUAUAUGAUAGUGCGUCGAUUGACAAGAGGAAGAAAGAAAAGGGAUUUGUUAUUGAGGCCGUUCGUCUCAAACAUCUGUCUUUAGAGAUAUAUAUGCCAAGCGUACCUAAACCCUUGCCUUCUCACCUUACAACCAUAUCUCUUCAGGAUUGUUGUUUGGAAGAGGAUCCAAUGCCGAUUCUAGAAAAGUUACCCCAAUUGAAAGAGGUUUGUUUAUGGACGAAUAGUUUCAGUGGGAGGAGAAUGGUUUGCUCAGCUGGUGGGUUUCCUCAAUUGCAGAAGCUUGAGUUUGGUGGAUUAGAAGAGUGGGAAGAGUGGAUAGUAGAAGAAGGCUCCAUGCCCCUUCUUCAUUCUUUGACGAUUAUUAGCUGUACGAAGUUAGAAGAGUGGAUAGUAGAAGAAGGCUCCAUGCCCCUUCUUCAUACUUUGAUGAUUGAAGGAUGUAGUUUGAAAGAGGAUCCGAUGCCGAUUUUAGAGAAGUUACCCCAAUUGAAAGAGGUUAAAUUAGAUAAUGAAUCUUUCAGUGGGAGGAGAAUGGUUUGCUCGGCCGGUGGGUUUCCUCAAUUGCAGAAGCUUCGGUUCGAUGGAUUAGAAGAGUGGGAAGAGUGGAUAGUAGAAGAAGGCUCCAUGCCCCUUCUUCAUACUUUGAAGAUUAAAGGAUGUAGUUUGAAGGAUCCGAUGCAGAUUUUAGAGAAGUUACCCCAAUUGAAAGAGGUUAUAUUAGAUAAUAAAUCUUUCAGUGGGAGGAUAAUGGUUUGCUCGGCCGGUGGGUUUCCUCAAUUGCAGAAGCUUAAGUUUGCUGGAUUAGAAGAGUGGGAAGAGUGGAUAGUAGAAGAAGGCUCCAUGCCCGUUCUUUAUAGUUUGGUGAUUAAAGACUGUAAGAAGUUUAAAGAGCUUCCUGAUGGGUUACGAUUCAUCACUUCCUUGAAGAAUCUGAAGAUUGAAUAUAUGGGAGAGGAAUGGAAGGAGAGACUGUCGGAAGGAGGAGAAGAUUAUUACAAAAUCCAACACAUCCCUUCUGUUACAUUCGGAAACGAAUGAUUGAGAAUGAGGCUUUCAGAAUUACAGUACAGACAGACGUACCAGGUACACAAAAUCAUCCUCAGAAAAGGGGAAAUGAAUUCUCUGUUUGUUUUCACAAUUGAAUCUAAAAUUCUUAGAGUGGAUUACAAUUCUGCUGAAAUUCUGUUUCAUUCGUAUGUUUUGUAGACGAAUCUCUUCCCAGGCGAAUCACUCUUAUCAAACUGGUCAUCUGCCUUUUGCAUUUGUUGUUUUCUCAGUUUACAUAAUCAGACUUACAAUUUCUAUUAUUUAUGUUUGCUGGUUUGACUGAUCAUUCGAUCUCAACCUUUUAUCACUCUCUUCACUCAUUCUUAAUUACUGUUGUGUUGGAUCGUGCACUGAUUAUUAUUGUGGUUUUUUUUUAUAUUAUUAUUCAACAUUGGAUUUAUGUUUGCUUGUUUGAUUAAUGAGUAAUGAUGAUCAUUAAAUCUCAAACACUUUUCAUUCACCUUUCGGUCAUUCCUAAUUUCCUGU